GAGCCGCGCUUCCUCAAUCGCAUGGGCCAAGUACCUCCCCUCCCCGUCUGCUAGACUCGCCUCCCCGACUGCGGCGCUGCUGUCUGGGAAGUUGAUGAGGGACCCCUGAGUGGAUGGGAUAUUUAGGGGUCCCGUGGGCAGUAGGAUUGGGCUGCAUGCAGUCAUAACCGUUGCCAGGAGAAAACGCAGCUCUGACCCCCUCUGAGCCUCACGCACCCACCCCCAUUCCCCUCUUCAGCACCAGCCUCGUCGGUAUUUCCUGGGUUCGGCUACGGAUCCGCAAAGCCUAGCAGCCCCUCUGUUCGCAAAGUUGUGGUCUUCCUGAAGGGGCUUAAGACAUGGCCUUUGAUUCUCGGGCUGAGGCUGGCUAUUUCAGAAACAAGUGGUUCUGCAGAUCCUUUAUUGGAAUAAUCUGUGUGGUGCCCCUUGACAGUGGAGAUGACUCAUGUUAGCUUUUUUUUUUCCCCUUCAAAUAAACUUUGUAUUCAAGACACAAGCUUGCCAGGUCAUUUGCAACAGUGAUAGAGCUGGAAACCCACACUGCAGGCCUUGAGACCUUGUGCUAGUCCUAGAUGUGUUAGCAAGGAUUAUGGCCUCCAAUAAUGGCAUCAUCGACUUGAUGGACAUGAGUUUGAGUAAGCUCCGGGAGUUGGUGAUGGACAGGGAAGCCUGGCGUGCUGCAGUCCAUGGGGGGCAAAGAGUGGGACAUGACUGAACGACUGAACUGGUGGCCUCCAGUGCAUCACUUCCCCUCUUUGGAGCUCAGUUUCUUUAUCUGCGAAAUGUGGUAUACAGAAUGAGCUGGGCAGUCUUAGGUGCCAGGAGUAGCUGUUUGAGGGAACCUGGUAUCUUUUUCCUUGUGAACCUAGAUCAGCCACACAAAGUCCACCUCAGCCUAUUAUGAAGAAAUUAGGGUGGACUUAACACAGCUCAGAAGCAAGAGAGGCUGCAUAAGCCUGGAGUGGAUGUGCAGUGGAUCCACUUGGAGCAGUCUUACUUGAAGAAUAAUACCCCCAGGGUCUCCCCUUGCUGUGGGAAUAAUCCAAGUCGCCUUUCCUGGAAGUCAGUUUGCUGAAACGACUGAAGCAACAGUUCUUGGAAGUUGAAAAAAAGGAGAUCGAGCGCCUUGACUCGAGGGGCGUGGCCCUCCCAUCGGAACCGGCUCCAGACGCGCCC